GCAUGAUUGCAGGGGGACUCAUUUAGAGUUGAGAAGGUAAAACCUGACCCUUUGAACCUGUUAGUUAAUACUGACGUAGGGAGCAACUCACAUCUAUUU
rnacentral:ncRNA from 1 species